AAACUGAAGAGUUUGAUCAUGGCUCAGAUUGAACGCUGGCGGCAGGCCUAACACAUGCAAGUCGAGCGGUAACAGGGGUAGCUUGCUACCCGCUGACGAGCGGCGGACGGGUGAGUAAUGCAUAGG
rnacentral:rRNA from 1 species